GUUUGCCUUUGCCCCAGCUGAAGCACUUCCUCUUUGUAGAAGAAUCAGAGGCCUGCAAGAACUACUCAUCCUGCACCUGGAGUAAAACCAUAUGGCUUGGAAACAAAGUCUGCAGGCUUCGAGCCAGUUAACGGAGUGGCUUCAGAGGAGUAGACGUGUGUUCUGUUCAUGUCCGGUGUGUGCAGCACACUGAUGUUUGCAGGCCUUCCCCAGGGGCUCAGUGUUUAGCGGGACAUGGACACAGACACCUCACCACAGGCCCAUCUGAGAAGUGCUGUGCAGACCAGCAAGCUUUCACAGGAUGGUCACGCAAGAAUAGGAAGAAAGUCUGCAGCCUACGGAUGAUGUGCAGUUCUCCCCCAUGUCAAAAGAAAUCCAAGGAGUGCAAGAUCCACGAAUGUGCCUGCACAUUGUAUACAAUGAUAGAAAAUAAAGAAGGCCAUCUGCAUGUCCCAAGUUAAAUACAGUGUGACCCAGCCACUCUGGGAUACAUGUAGCUUUAAAGAGAAAUAGGUAAGUAUGCCUAGACAUGGGAAGAUGCCUAAAUUAGUAAUCAAAGGCUAUAUAACAAUAUCACUGUAAGCUAAGCAACUUGUAACAACCAGCAUUUAUUGUCUCCCAGUUUCUGUGGGUCAGGAGUCCAGGUACAGCUUACCUGGCCCUCCACAACCAAGGUGUGGGCUGGGGCUGCAGUCACAUCUGAGGCUUGACUGAGGAAGGACCUGCUUCCUCACUCACAUGGUUGUCAGCAACAUUCAGUUCCUUGUGUGCUGUGGGACUGAGGGCCUUAUUUCCUGCUGGCUGUUGGCCAGAGGCUGCCCUCAACUCCUUGUCACAGCAGCCCUCUCCAAGUGGCCACUUGCUUCCUCCAAGGUAACUAGGGAGUAUGUCUCCUAAGAAGACUGAUGUGAUCAUCUUA
rnacentral:lncRNA from 1 species